rnacentral:lncRNA from 1 species
GUUCUUUCUGAAUGGCGCAACGGAAGUGCAUUUGGGCCAAAACUGGACUUAGAUUGCCCUCUGGUACUGAAAGUGACAGCACCCCAGGAGCUGGGCACCAUACGGUGCUGAAGGAGAAGUGACCACAGACGCAGAGGAAGCAAGUAGCUGCUUAGGAUUCCUAGACAGACAGGCAACACAGAACCAGGUUGAAGGCUGCGUGUGUUCCCAUAUUGGAGCAGAAAUUCAGAUAUUAAUUAACCCAGUGAACUUGCCUGAAAACCUGCUUCCUGGAACCCAACUAAGUCGAGCCUAUGACAAAGAUGUGGCUGGAAAAGCAGAUGCCUACCACUUUCUGAAUAAAACAAAGGAUUUCGUCAUGGAUGCAAGUUCUGGUGUAAUCACAUCUACCAAAGUUUUUAAUUAUGAAAUGGAUCCAAUAAGGUUCCUAUUUAUAGUUGACACCGGGGGGCCCAGGAGACGGGUCCUCACCAUUAAUAUCAUUGAUGUUCCCGAGCCCCCAGACUGCACAGCUGACCCUCAGUUCUCUGCAGGCACAGCUGCUUUGGAAAUUGACGAGGACUACCCCUUAUUUCAGCCCAUUUACAGAGUGACGGCCACAGAUGAGGAUCUGGGUCACGGCGACAGGCUGACG